UUGCUCCAAACUACAGGCACAUGGUAAGGGAGGAGAUUUAUUACACAAUCAAGAUGUUAUAAGGAUUAGAUCUUGAGACCUUUUGUCUGCAAACCAAUGAUAUUUUUUACUGGGCUAGACCCCGUUAGUAUCUUCUUUGGUUGUUAUUUUAAGUAUUAUAUUACCUACCAAUUCUUAAUUAUUACCAAAUACAUUUUCAACAUAAAUUUAAAAAUAUAUUUCAGCAUGAAAUUAACAAGAAAUUAUGACUUUGAAAUUGAAAAUAAUAAUGAUAUAUGUGAAAUUUACCCCAUUAUUCUAACAUCGCAGCGAGCGAACCGGCAGAGACGAACGGUGUGUUGUCUUAGAAGCCACUAGCAGAGUCUGAGCGGGUCACCAAUGGCAACCCGGUUCCCGAGUCCGAGUCCGAGUCAUAAAGUGGCGAGCUUGGUCCUGGUCCUGGUCCUCUUAGCUAGCCUCUACGGCUCCUGCCGUGGAUCUGAGUCUCGGAUCCAUCCGGGUCGCGACCUGUUGGCCACUCAAAGGAGGAACAACGGCAGUCAGAACCAGAUCCCGAGCUGCAACGACAUGUCGUCGGAGUCACAGUGCUCCCGGAACCCAAAGUGCCGGUGGUGCCGCAGCGACGUCCUCAACGACAUGUGCUUCCCAAAGCUCGAGGCUUUGCGCUUACCCCUACAGGUCUUCUCUUGCAAAAUUGACUACAGUCGUCUCAACAGAAAUCAUGAGAAAGCUUAGCUUGAGUAUAUUUUAAUUUAAAGUCAGCUGCUUUUAAAUCUUUUUCCACUUUUAAUCACAAAUCAAUUCUUGUGUGUUGUUGUUGUUGUUGUUUGUUGAGUAGGGAAUUGUGCAUCUUGUGAUCUGUAAAUGAUGUGAUGUGAAUUGAAAUUGAUCUGUUCUUGAAUUGAAGAUCUGAAUCUUUUGAUAGACUAGUUGAAGUUGUGAUUGUUGAAGGUUAGAUUGUGUUUUUCCCAGCUAAGGAUUAGGAUUUAAUAGAAUGGGAAGUUGAAGUAUCAAAGGAAGUGGAUUAAGCUUGAGCAGCUUAAGAUCAAGCUUAAUACAUGUGCCUCAAAAGUAGUUUAAGUAGCUUAAGAUCAUCAUAUCCAUGCCUUAGGAAUUGAGGCACAUUUUGCAAAAUUGUGUGUGUUUCAUGUUCAUAUAGAGGAUUUGUACAUUUAUAAAUUAGAGGAAGAAAUAUAGCUGCCUGCUUGUAAGUUGUGCUUGUACAAUGUGAAAGUAAAUCAACUUAGUACAUUUUGCUUGUAAGUUUUGUGAGUGAUCCAUGGAAACCUAGAAGAAAGCAUGAAGCCUGGCAUGCAAGGUA
rnacentral:lncRNA from 1 species